GACGAACGCUGGCGGCGUGCUUAACACAUGCAAGUCGAACGGAAAGGCCUGCUUUCCCUUGUGGAUUGCGGGUACUCGAGUGGCGAACGGGUGAGUAACACGUGAGUGAUCUGCCCCCAACUUGGGUAUAAGCCUGGGAAACUGGGUCUAAUUCCCGAUAGGACUGCAGGGUGGUGCCUGUGGUGGAAAACGAUUUUCUAGUGGUUGGGGAUGAGCUCGCGGCCUAUCAGCUUGUUGGUGGGGUAAUGGCCUACCAAGGCGGCGACGGGUAGCCGGCCUGAGAGGGGGACGGGCAGAUUGGGACUGAGAUACGGCCCAGACUCGUACGGGAGGCAGCAGUGGGGAAUAUUGCACGAUGGGCGGAAGCCUGAUGCAGCGACGCCGCGUGGGGGAUGACGGACUUCGGGUUGUAAACUCCUUUCGACAGCGAGGAAGCCACCUGGUUGGAAGGGUGGUGACGGUAGUGGUAGAAGAAGCACCGGCUAACUACGUG
rnacentral:rRNA from 1 species